AGUGAACGCUGGCGGUAGGCCUAACACAUGCAAGUCGAACGGCAGCACAGUAAGAGCUUGCUCGUACGGGUGGCGAGUGGCGGACGGGUGAGGAAUAGAUCGGAAGCUAGUUUUUCGUGGGGGAUAACGUAGGUAAACUUACGCUAAUACCGCAUACGACAUACGGGUGAAAGCAGGGGAUCUUCGGACCUUGCGCGAUUGAAUGAGCCGAUGUCGGAUUAGCUAGUUGGCGGGGUAAAGGCCCACCAAGGCGACGAUCCGUAGCUGGUCUGAGAGGAUGAUCAGCCACACUGGAACUGAGACACGGUCCAGACUCCUACGGGAGGCAGCAGUGGGGAAUAUUGGACAAUGGGCGCAAGCCUGAUCCAGCCAUACCGCGUGGGUGAAGAAGGCCUUCGGGUUGUAAAGCCCUUUUGUUCGGAACGAAAAGCAGCCGGUUAAUACCCCGCUGUUCUGACGGUACCCAAAGAAUAAGCACCGGCUAACUUCGUG
rnacentral:rRNA from 1 species